rnacentral:tRNA from 1 species
AAGACUUUAAGUUAAUAAAACUCUUACCCUUCAAAGUUAAAUAUAAAGAAAUUUAUCUUUAAGUCUUA